rnacentral:tRNA from 1 species
GCAUUGGUGGUAUAGUGGUGAGCAUAGCUGUCUUCCAAGCAGUUGACCCCACUGGUUCAAUUCCCGGCCAACGCA